rnacentral:tRNA from 1 species
UUCAAAUCCGGGUGUCGCCU